rnacentral:lncRNA from 1 species
GCGCCCACGUGGCGCAGAGUUAAAGGCGGAGCCCACACGGAAAAUUUAAAUUGGACUCCAGAGAAGAGACAUUGAGACUGAUACUUCUAGCACUGAGGAUCUACCUCUAGGUUGGUGAGGGCAGCUUCUUGGGCAGUGAGAAGUGGGGCGGGCAGUGAGGAACAUUCCCAGAAGUGAGGACCACUCUAUGGCUGUGAGGACAAUCCUAGAGCAGUGAGAACCCUCUGAGGCAGUGAGGACCAUCCCGGGGAGUGAGGACCAUCCCAGGCAGUGAGGACCACCCCAGGGAAGUAAGGGCCAUCUCGGGCAGUGAGGACCAUCCCAGGGUGGUGAGGAUAAUCCUGGGGCAGUGAGGACCAUCCUGGACCAGUGAGUACUAUCCCAGGGCAGUGAGAAUCAUUCUAGAGCAGUGAGGGCUAUCCCAGGGCAGUGAGGACCAUCCCGGAGCAGUGAGGAUUAUCCUGGGGCAGUGGGGACUAUCCUAUGACAAUGAGGACCAUCCCAGUGCUGUGAGGACCAUCCUGGGGCAGUGAGGAUUACUCUGGGGCAGUGAGGACCAUCUCAGUCAGUGAGGACCAUUU